CAGUCGCCGCGGUAAUACGAAGGGUGCAAGCGUUACUCGGAAUUACUGGGCGUAAAGCGUGCGUAGGCGGUUUGUUAAGUCUGUUGUGAAAUCCCCGGGCUCAACCUGGGAAUGGCAAUGGAUACUGGCAAGCUAGAGUGUGUCAGAGGAUGGUGGAAUUCCCGGUGUAGCGGUGAAAUGCGUAGAGAUCGGGAAGAACAUCAGUGGCGAAGGCGGCCAUCUGGGACAACACUGACGCUGAGGCACGAAAGCGUGGGGAGCAAACAGGAUUAGAUACCCCAGUAGUCCCUGUCUCUUAUAC
rnacentral:rRNA from 1 species